AUUUACGUAUGUUUAAGUAAGUAUAUUGUAUUAAAUAAAUCGUUGUUUUGUACUUAUAGUACAGACUAUGCUUAGUUAAUGGCAAGAUAAUUUGUGUUAGUGUCAAUAUUAUUAUUAUACUUAUUUACACAAAUAAAAUUUGAAAACAAUAUUUUAUGAACGAUGCGGGACUCGAUCCGACCACUUUUUUGAAGACUUUAAAAACAUAACAAAUUGUUGAUACUUAUCGAGUUUGUUUAACUAUAGCUCGAUCAAAAAUUGAAUCUGUUAUUUAAUCAUUAUUUUUCAAUCAGGUGAGGCCAGAUUCAGCUUUUUUAGGGGAAUAACUUUUUUAACAAUAUCUAUUUAGAUAAGAUAGCUAAUUAAGAUAUCUUGCUUAUUAUUUUAUAUAAAUACGCUGAUUACAUGGUACUAGUAUCAGAUAUACACCUGUUUAAGCGGAUUCAAAACUUUCACCAAGUUCAAAAUGAAAUCUCUAUCACUUAUAUUUGUAUUAGCGGCAUUCAUUUGCUUUACACUAUCAUCACCUAUUGAUAAAGCAGAACCUGAGAGCCCCGUAGAGAUCCUCCUGAGCCCAGUACAGGUUGUGAUCGAUCCAACUCAGACUCUGUUCUGUACAAACUCAUGGUGUCACAAUAUUUGUGUACAACUUGGAACAAGGACCGGCUACUGUAAUGCUCAAAAUCAAUGCCAGUGCUCCUUUUAAUGGCUGAUAAAAUUAUUAGAUUUAACUAAAUUAAGUACACAAUUAAAUAUUACAAACCACAAUAAAUAAAUAAAUACAUUUUUAUAUGAA